rnacentral:rRNA from 1 species
UAACGAAUCUUCCACAAUGCGCGAAAGCGUGAUGGAGCAAUGCCGCGUGCAGGAUGAAGCCUUUCGGGGUGUAAACUGCUGUCAGGGUGUAGCAAAAAAAUGAGCAGACCCAAAGGAAGAGGUGGCUAACUCUGUGCCAGCAGCCGCGGUAAUACAGAGACCUCGAGCGUUAAUCGGAGUCACUGGGCUUAAAGCGUACGUAGGCGGACCUGUAGGCAUCUUGUGAAAUACCUCGGCUCAACCGAGGAACUGCUUGGUGAACCACAGGUCUUGAGGCAAGUAGGGGCUGUCGGAACGAUAGGUGGAGCGGUGAAAUGCGUUGAUAUCUAUCGGAACGCCAAAGGUGAAGACAGGCAGCUGGGCUUGUACUGACGCUGAGGUACGAAAGCGUGGGGAGCAAACGGGAUUAGAUACCCCCGUAGUCC